CAUACACACUGAGAAUAGCACAGAUGUUUCACCCUCAUUUCUACAUCAUUAUAAAGGUGAGCCACGGACACGGUCAAGCCAGCACCCAUACCACCUUCGCCACGUACAGGACACCUUCACACACGCACGUCAUGUUGUGGAUAACUUCUUUGUCUCUCUUGCUUUCUCUCCAGUUAAUCUCUGGAACAUCAAUGGAGGAACUGCAAGAUGAGAGAGCGGACCCAGCAACGACACCACCAACAACAAUACCACCACCGGGCAAAUGCGAGCCUGACUGCUCCUCUGCUAAAGAUGGCGACAAAGUGGAAAACCCUAAAGAUUGCCACCAGUAUUACGUGUGCUUUGGUGGCAGCGACCCUAUCGGCCCCGUGGACUGCCCUGACGGUCAGUAUUUCAACCGUAGUGCCAGUGACUGCGUGAAAAAUGGCCCUGAGGAAUGCCAGCCGUCAUGUGGAGGGGUGAGUAGCAGCUGUACCUAUGAAUGUGGAGCUGGUAUCGCCCUCAGAGCAGACAGAUAUGACUGUUCCACGUACCAUGACUGUGGUAGCGGCGCCAUGAUGCAGUGUGACAAGGACAGGCCGUUCUUUAAUGGGAAGUCGUGCCAGAGUGACGAGAGUAAGUGCUGUCACUGCAACCCUUACUGCUACACAGACGACAAGAAGGUAGUGGACCCAACGGACUGCACUAAAUUCUACUACUGUAUCAAAGCCAAUGCGAUCCCAGAGUUACCUGGCCAUUGCUCCGCUGGAAACUUUGACCUCUUCACGCAGGAGUGUUCCCUCAGCGCGCCCUGCCUCACCCUCUGCACCAAUGUUGUCAAACCAGACGGCUGCAUCCACACCUACACCUGUGAAGUGAGCGGUUACUUCCCUGCCUGCCCUCACAAGUGCACGCCUGACUACUACCACUGCCUCCUUGAAGACAUCGGUUCCAAUGUGCCAGUUGUCUCUUGCGCUCUGGACACUGUGUUCCACCCCAUUGACAGAAAGUGUGUCGACCCUUCCCAGUGUUCCAUUAAGCACACUUGGCACUGAGACCCCACACACACACACACACACACACACACACACACACACACACACACACACACACACACACACACACACACACACACACACACACA
rnacentral:misc_RNA from 1 species